rnacentral:rRNA from 1 species
AAUGGCAGGUCAGCAUACUGCCGUGAAUACGUUCCCGGGCCUUGUACACACCGCCCGUCACACCAUGAGAGUUGGGAAUACCCGAAGCCUGUGAGCUAACAUUUAUGAGGCAGCAGUCGAAGGUAGAAUCAAUGAUUGGGGUGAAGUCGUAACAAGGUAAC